rnacentral:rRNA from 1 species
UAGUAUCAGCGUGCCAGCCGCCGCGGUAAUACAGAGGGUGCGAGCGUUAAUCGGAAUUACUGGGCGUAAAGCGCGCGUAGGCGGCUUUUCAAGUCGAUUGUGAAAUCCCCGGGCUUAACCUGGGAACUGCAGUCGAGACUGUCUAGCUAGAGUAUGGGAGAGGGAAGUGGAAUUUCAGGUGCAGCGGUGAAAUGCGUAGAUAUCUGAAGGAACAUCAGUGGCGAAAGCGACUUCCUGGACCAAUACUGACGCUCAUGUGCGAAAGCGUGGGGAGCAAACAGGAUUAGAUACCCUGGUAGUCCACGCCAUAAACGAUGAGAACUGGAUGUCGGAGGGGUCUGCCCUUCGGUGUCGUAGCUAACGCGUUAAGUUCUCCGCCUGGGGAGUACGGCCGCAAGGUUGAAACUUAAAGGAAUUGGCGGG